rnacentral:rRNA from 1 species
UGGGUGCAAGCCUGAUGCAGCGACGCCGCGUGAGGGAUGACGGCCUUCGGGUUGUAAACCUCUUUCAAUAGGGACGAAGCGCAAGUGACGGUACCUAUAGAAAAAGGACCGGCCAACUACGUGCCAGCAGCCGCGGUAAUACGUAGGGUCCGAGCGUUGUCCGGAAUUACUGGGCGUAAAGAGCUCGUAAGUGGUUUGUCGCGUUGUUCGUGAAAACUCACAGCUUAACUGGGGGCGUGCGGGCGAUACGGGCAGACUAGAGUACUGCAGGGGAAACCCCAAUCCCUGGGGUAGCG